rnacentral:rRNA from 1 species
UGGGUGACCUGCCUUUCAGUGAGGAAUACCGGCGAGAAAUCGCCGACAAUGCCGCAUACGCUCGCGGGAUCACAGCCGUGAGCAAAGCGCCGCAAGGGGCGCUGGAAGAGGGGCCCGUGGCCGAUUAGCUGGUUGGUGGGGUAACGGCCUACCAAGGCGACGAUCGGUAGCUGGUCUGAGAGGACGAUCAGCCACACUGGGAUUGAGAACGGCCCAG